UGCCCCAUGGCUGAGUUGGUUACAGCGUCCGACUGUUAAGCUCUUGUGGUUUGUUCAAUCGGAAGGUCGUGAGUUCGAGCCUCACUGGGGCAG